AGAGUUUGAUCCUGGCUCAGAUUGAACGCUGGCGGUAUGCUUAACACAUGCAAGUCGAACGGUAACAGGCAAAAGCUUGCUUUUGCGCUGACGAGUGGCGGACGGGUGAGUAACGCGUAGGAAUCUGCCUAGUAGUGGGGGACAACCUGGUGAAAACCAGGCUAAUACCGCAUACGCCCUACGGGGGAAAGCGGGGGAUCUUCGGACCUCGCGCUAUUAGAUGAGCCUGCGUUAGAUUAGCUAGUUGGUGGGGUAAAGGCCUACCAAGGCGACGAUCUAUAGCUGGUCUGAGAGGACGAUCAGCCACACUGGGACUGAGACACGGCCCAGACUCCUACGGGAGGCAGCAGUGGGGAAUAUUGCACAAUGGGCGCAAGCCUGAUGCAGCCAUGCCGCGUGUGUGAAGAAGGCUUUCGGGUUGUAAAGCACUUUCAGUUGGGAGGAAAAGUUGUAGAUUAAUACUCUAUAGCCCUGACGUUACCAACAGAAGAAGCACCGGCUAACUCCGUGCCAGCAGCCGCGGUAAUGCGGAGGGUGCAAGCGUUAAUCGGAAUUACUGGGCGUAAAGCGCGCGUAGGUGGUUUGUUAAGUCAGAUGUGAAAGCCCCGGGCUUAACCUGGGAACUGCAUUUGAUACUGGAUAACUAGAGUUUGGUAGAGGGGAGUGGAAUUUCCUGUGUAGCGGUGAAAUGCGUAGAUAUAGGAAGGAACACCAGUGGCGAAGGCGGCUCUCUGGACCAAAACUGACGCUGAGGUGCGAAAGCGUGGGUAGCAAACGGGAUUAGAUACCCCGGUAGUCCACGCCGUAAACGAUGUCAACUAGCCGUUGGGCCUAUUAAAAGGCUUAGUG
rnacentral:rRNA from 1 species